UUAAACGAACAAAAGUUUGUCUUAAAAUGCAAUUUUUAUUCCUACGGUAAAAAAAGGUUUACCAUAUUUUCAACUCUGUUCUGUUUUUGAUUUAGUCAAAAUUCAGAUGACGGACAUAAGUUACGUGAGACUAUCUUAAUUGUUGAACAUUACAAGAUUUAUUAUUCAGCUCUUUCUGUUUCCAUGAUGAUCAAUAACGAUAAUUAAAAAAGGGUUGAGGGGGUCUCUUAUAACAACAGGGCGUUACGGAUUUUGUGUAAUGCCUUAGAUUAUAUGUUUGUUCAAAUUUUACUACACUUACAACUUUAUUGUUUGAUUAACCCAUAACAAGGUGCUCCUAUGGUAGAAUAAUUUUUGAGAUACUACCUAUUUCAUCAUAUCAACUGUUGAUAACGUCUAUCAUAAGUUGGCUCUUAAAUGUAUCUUUGAAUAAAAUAAGUGUUAAAUAACCUAACGAAAAUAUGUGGUGUUAGUUAAAAGUGCAAACCUUUACUAAACAAUAACUUUAAAAUCAGAAUUGUAUUUUUCUUUAUAUCGAGCAAGUACCGAAUGUGGAAAUCUAGCAAAACAAUUACACAAAUUACUACCCCCAUAAACUAUGUCAUAACUCAUUAUUACGAGCUACAAUAACCACAGAUUCAAGCGUAAAAUUUCCAAUGCAUCAUCGCCACCAGCAUCAUGCACACAUUAAACCUGACACGAGUAACAAAAAGAAAAACAAAACAUAUCCGUUCUAAAUUCAAAUCAACGAGUUAAAAAAUAAUAAUAAAAAAAAGAACAAACGAAUAAACCAAAUCAUUACAAAAAUUCCAGUUUCUAGUCCAGAGCUGAGCUCAACCCAGAAAGGGAAGUCGCAAAAGAGGUGAACAUUAUUUGAUAAAUUGCUGCAACAGCAGCCGCCUGCAGCUACAGCAAAUAUUGUGAAAAUAUUGUCUUAAAACAAACAAAAAAUAAGGAAAAUAACUCUGAAGGUGAGGUCUGAGGUAAGACAUGAACUACUGAUUAUGCUUUCCAAAUCGAAGCAUCAAUAUUGAGCUUAACUUUCUCUCCCGACAUCGAAGCAAUCCACGGAAGGUAAAGACAACGACGAAGUAAGGAACACCCAUCUUAGUCAUUCAAUUGGGAAACUUCCUCCCUACCUACCUACAUAGCUACUCUUUCGCGUCUUUCGACAGCGAUUUAUUACGCAAUGAAUGUUACUGCUGGAACUUGCAAGUCUCUAUAGAAUGACCAGAGCCAAAUGAGAGAGAAACUUACUUCGAAUCGUGGUUCUGCAUUAUGUUUUGCAAAUCUGUCAGAGUGCAUAAAGCAAAUCCCCUCGUGCGGGGUCGUCUCAAGAUUUUGCACACUUUUUUUAUGAAGUGUGAUAUGAUAGUAACUCAGGAAGAUUUAAUUUAUUUAUUUUUGUUCUGAAAAUAAGUCUUAAAAAUCUUUUUGGGUUUGGUAUCAAACUUGGAUGGAAGAUAUUGACCCUUCUUCGAUGAUGUGAAAUGGAAACUAUUUUUAAACUUAAGGAAACACAACAUUUUUGUAUCCAUAGACUUACCACUGAGGUUUGGCACAAGGCCGUUGGGACCUUUUUUUCAGCAAUCUUGAAGCCUUUUCUGUUUUAUCUCUGGGCCACAGGUGAACUUUAAAAUUAAAUUCUCUUUUCUUUCUUUAUCUCUUCCCACCACACCGCACCGCACCGGCAAUGUAAUUGAGUCAACCUUUUGAAGUACGAAAAAUAAAAUGGCACAAGUUGGAGCGAUCAAAACA